rnacentral:rRNA from 1 species
UCAAGCUAUAAAGAGCGCAAGGGGAAUGCCUUGGCAUCAGGAGCCGACGAAGGACGUGACAAGCUGCGAUAAGCUUCGGGGAGGAGCAAAUAUCCUGUGAUCCGGAGAUUUCCGAAUGGGGAAACCCACUGGAGCAAUACUCCAGUAACGUGCAUUGAACAAAAUAGGUGUACGUGGGGAACCGCCUGAACUGAAACAUCUAAGUAGGGCGAGGAAAAGACAUCAACCGAGAUUCCGUAAGUAGUGGCGAGCGAACACGGAGGAGGCCAAACCGGAGGAUUUAUUCUCCGGGGUUAGGACUUGCAUCACGAUCAGAAGAAUCUAACAGAACGGCAUGGGAAGGCCGGCCACAGAGGGUGAGAGCCCCGUACGUGAAAGAGGAAGCUGACAGCGAGUAUCCAGAGUACCGCGGGACACGUGAAACCCCGCGGGAAAACGGGUGGACCACCAUCCAAGCCUAAAUACUACCUGAUGACCGAUAGAGGAGCAGUACCGUGAGGGAAAGGUGAAAAGGACCCCGGGAGGGGAGUGAAAGAGAACCUGAAACCUUGUGCUUACAAGCACUCAAAGCCCGUUAAGGGGUGAUGAGGUACCUUUUGUAGAAUGGUCCGGCGAGUUAUUGUUACUGGCAAGCUUAAGGCAUUCAGUGCCGGAGGCACAGGGAGACCGAGUCUGAAUAGGGCGUAUGAAGUCAGUGGCAAUAGACCCGAAACCGGGUGACCUAUCCAUGGGCAGGUUGAAGUGGGGGUAAAACCCCAUGGAGGACCGAACGCACGCCCGUUGCAAUGGUCGGCGAUGACCUGUGGAUAGCGGUGAAAUUCCAAUCGAACUCGGAGAUAGCUGGUUCUCCCCGAAAUAGCUUUAGGGCUAGCGUUGGCUUAGAUUACCGGAGGUAAAGCACUGAAUGGGCUAGGGGCCGAUAAGGUUACUGAACCCUAUCAAACUCUGAAUGCCGGAUAAUUGAUGGCCAGCAGUCAGUCUACGUGAGAUAAGUCUCGUGGACAAAAGGGAAACAGCCCAGACCCACAGCUAAGGUCCCAAAGAUACGCUAAGUGGAAAACGAUGUGGAGUUGCGAAAACAACCAGGAUGUUGGCUUAGAAGCAGCCACUCAUUAAAAGAGUGCGUAAUAGCUCACUGGUCGAGUGACUCUGCGCGGAAAAUAUAACGGGGCUAAGCGUAACACCGAAGCUUGGGCUGCACAGCAAUGUGCGGGGUAGGGGAGCGUCGAAUAUGGGGUGAAGUCGCAGCGGAAGCAGCGGUGGACUGUAUUCGAGUGAGAAUGCCGGAAUGAGUAGCGAGAAUUAUGUGGGAAUCAUAAUGGCCGAAAAUCUAAGGUUUCCUGGGGAAGGUUCGUCCGCCCAGGGUAAGCCGGGAGCUAAGACGAGGCCGAAAGGCGUAGUCGAUGCACAUACGGUUGAAAUUCCGUAGCCACCGAACCUUAAGUACACUGACACAUGGAGAUAGCGGGACCCGGGCGUUGGUUGACCCGGGCGUAAGGGACCGAACUUUAGUAGGGAAGUCCGCGAUGCCCUGAGGCGAGAAAAGGCGAAGGUAGGGUGCCCGUACCGCAAACCGACACAGGUAGAUGAGGAGAGAAUCCUAAGGCCAACGGGAGAAGGGUUGUUAAGGAACUCGGCAAAAUGACCCCGUAACUUCGGGAUAAGGGGAGCCUCCUACGGGAGGCCGCAGCGAAUAGGCCCAAGCGACUGUUUACCAAAAACACAGGUCUCUGCUAAAUCGAAAGAUGACGUAUAGGGGCUGACGCCUGCCCGGUGCUGGAAGGUUAAGAGGAGAUGUUAGCCGCAAGGCGAAGCAUUGAAUCGAAGCCCCAGUAAACGGCGGCCGUAACUAUAACGGUCCUAAGGUAGCGAAAUUCCUUGUCAGGUAAGUUCUGACCCGCACGAA